CCAGGGCUCAGUGCAGACUGUAAAGGACUGUUUAAACAGCUGGAGCCACAGGAUCUCCUCACUGUCAGUAGAGUCUGCCCAUGACACGAGGCUGCAUGUGAAGGUCUGACACCAUGUGAAAGCAUGUGCUCUGGACCCAGUGUCAUGCUUGUGCCUCCUACUGCUGUUGCUUCUGCCCUCCCUGCCCCGUAAGCCUUUCCAGGUACAUGUGUGCCCUGUGUGGUGGGGUGGAGGAAGUCUUGUGUGUGGAGGCCUCCAGCUUUCAUGGGUUUCACUGUGUUGUGUUCUAUUUGUCGCACAUAUGUUGGGUUCUUGUGCAUUGCAUGUUCUGCAUGUUGCACAUGUGUCUUGGGUUCUGUGGGUUGCUCCACUGUGUUCUGCAUGUCGCACAUGUCUUGGGCUCCUGUGGGUCAAACUGCGGUGUAUUCUGCUUGUCAUAUGUCUGACUUGGGCUCUGGGGCAUUACACUUUGGCACAUUCUGCAACAUACAUGGGCACUUGUGGAUCACAGCUUGGAGUGUUAUGGGUGUCAAGCAUCUCAGGCUGUUGUGGGUCAUGUCAUGGCACGUUCUGUCUGAUACACACGUGCCUCAGACUCUUGUGCAUUGCACCAUGGAGUGUUGUGCAUUUGGCGUGUGCAGGCUGGUGCGUUUCUCUGUACCAGGGCUGCUGAUCCACCAUCUUCCCAGGCUGCUCCUGCUGAUCUGUGUGAUCCAGCAGUGCACUUGUGGACAGGGGCCAGUGGGGUGCAGAGCUCUCCAGGGUGGCACAAAGGUGCCUGUCUCUCUUGUGGGGAUGCAAGUGUGUUGUGGUGUUUCAUGGGCUGCUGCUGACCCCCACGGGGCCUGGUGUGACCUUGUGUUGCAUGUGCUAGUGAACCUCUUGUGCUGGCACGGCUUGGUGUGCUUCUGUUGUGUGGCAUGUUUCUGUGGCCUGGAGUGUGCCCAUGGUGUGGUGUUUGGCUGCAGUGUGGCAUGUGCCCAUUAUGUGGUGCAUACCCCUGGCCUGGACUUUCCCUAAGUUGCACGUGUCCGUGGCUCCUCGUGCACCG
rnacentral:lncRNA from 1 species